rnacentral:lncRNA from 1 species
GUGAUGAUGAUCCCUAAAAGAUUUAAUUUCUAUGAGACAUACAAUUCAAACUAUUGAAGAUAUUACUUAAUCAAAAUGAGUAAGUAUUUUUAUGUGCUCAAACAAUCUAGAUGAAUAUUGUGUAAUAUUCUUGUGUGAAUAUUUUAUAAAUGAAGAUAUGAAAAUGACAUCAUGUGAAAUCUAUUUGUUUAAAGAAAUAGUUUGAGAUGAAUAUGAAACAAAUAUAAAGAUUUAUUUGAGAUUACAAAAUAAAUAUUUGAAUAAUAUUUUUGUAACUUGGUUCCAACAAUCCUCAUAGAGCCAUCUUCGGUGUCCUCGAUCUAGUGACUCUUGUAGGGAAUGCCUCGUGGUUUUGGGAGUUGGGUCCCCACCUUUUAAGUGAAGUGUCAUAAUAGAGUAAUCUCACCGAACCUUAUAUGAAUUACGACGUCUUUUGGGAUGUUACCACCAUAGGGGCGAUUGGUUGUCGGUUCUCCACGUUGCUGAGAUGAUAGUUAUGUUCCAUGAUCACUCGGGAUUGCUCACAAAUUAGAGUGACGAGCUCAUUGGAGGUUGUUCCUCUAUUCUAAACUUCCACAAGGUCCGCAUCUACUUCUAGCUUAUCGCUGUUGAUGGGGAGCUCCUAGGAUGGUGACGUUGUGACCUCAUCUUCUAGUCGUUGAGCAGUGGUGUCGAAAUUCAUUUUGAGGUUUUUACCAGCUAUCACAAAGUUACAAAUUAGGUUUUUAGCAACGCAAGGAAACCUAUUUCCCCAUAGACGACACCAAUGAUUCGAACUGGACCGAGGACGAUGGUCAGAAUCUGUUAUAAGGGGUGAUACCUAUAAACACUCUAACGCUCAAACAAGUAUUGAUUCGAAGAGAGUAAGAGAUAUAAGGAUGAGAGAGUGUGUGUACUUUUCCCGAUGCUGGAGAUCUGAAACAAUAUCGUUUAGAGACAAUGAACAUUAGAAGCUGAUAUAUCAAAUUAGUCCACCAUAAAAUUUGUCUCAUUAUCAAUAAACAUUAAAACGAAAUAUUUAUUUUUGAAUUUGUUUUUAAAAAACAAAGAUCAUCAAGAAAAUAAAAGAGAAGCACCGUCCAAUCCUAUCCCUUGUGAUAAGUCGUUAGAAACUUGUCAAGAUUUGUGAAGACAUAUAGGAUAGGAAUGCGGGAAUAUGCGCGUUUUCUUGAGUCACGCACGAGUCGAGAAACAC